rnacentral:rRNA from 1 species
CGGACGGGUGAGUAACGCGUGGGUAACCUGCCUCAUACAGGGGGAUAACAGUUGGAAACGACUGCUAAUACCGCAUAAGCCCACGGCUCGGCAUCGAGCAGAGGGAAAAGGAACAAUCCGCUUUGAGAUGGCCUCGCGUCCGAUUAGCUAGUUGGUGAGGUAACGGCCCACCAAGGCGACGAUCAGUAGCCGGCCUGAGAGGGUGAACGGCCACAUUGGGACUGAGACACAGCCCAA